GACGUUAGCCACCUCGGCUGGCGUUUCCUCCCUAAACUUUCAGCCCGCCCGGCAUCCGUCUGGCGGGUUCUUUCUUGCCAAUC
rnacentral:sRNA from 1 species